rfam:Eutrema salsugineum unplaced genomic scaffold scaffold_3, whole genome shotgun sequence.
AAGCCAUGGUGAGGGCAGUCUCGCUGGUACGAUUUGAAUCGCACCCAAGAAGCCUUGAACGCUUCAGUAGGGUCCUGAGAGAAAGUCGAGAUCUUAGUCCUCAACUC